rnacentral:rRNA from 1 species
GACGAACGCUGGCGGCGUGCUUAACACAUGCAAGUCGAGCGAACAGACCAUGAGCUUGUUCCGCUCACGUUAGCCGCGGACGGGUGAGUAACACGUGUAUCACCUACCUAUAAUACUGGUAUCACUUCGAGAAACCGGCUCUAAUACCGUAGAAUAUCUUGAUCCGCAUGGUUCAAUAGUGAAAGACGGCUUUUCUGUCACGUAUAGAUGCAUCUGCGCCGCAUUAGCUAGUUGGUAAGGUCACGGCUUACCAAGGGGACGAUGCGUAGCCGAACUGAGAGGGUGAUCGGCCACACUGGAACUGAGACACGCUACAGAGUCCUACGGGAGGCAGCAGUAGGGAAACUGGCGCAAUGGGCGAAAGCCUGACGAAGCAGCGCCGCGUGAGUGAUGAAGGUCUUCGGAUCGGAAAACUCUGUUAUUGGGGAAGAACAACUUUGUAAGUAACCAUGCACGUAUUGACGGUAACGGGUCAAGAAGCACCGGCUAACUACGUG